GGAGUAUGGACUAUUGGGUUCCAAGCCAAGUUCUGUUCCUGUGGAAGUUAAUUUGAAAAUGGUUCAUAGUGAUGAGAAUCUGCUUGCUAAUCCUACUUGUUAUAGACAACUGAUUGGGAAACUGAUGUACAUAACUUUGGCUAGACCUGAUAUUUCAUAUGGAGUUCAGGUGUUGUCACAAUUUAUAGAUAAGCCUACAGAAGUACAUAUGGUUGCUGCAAACAAGAUCCUUAAGUAUCUCAAGAACUCACAGGGCCAAGGAUUGUUUCUGUCAAAACAUUUUGAGUUAAAAUCAGUUGCUUUUUCUGAUAGUGACUUGGCAGGUUGCAAUGAAACUAGAAGGUUUCUAACAGGUUUUUGUGUGUUCUUGGGACAGUCUUUAAUCAGUUGGAAAUCAAAGAAACAACCCAUAGUUUCUAAAAGUUCUGCUGAAUCUGAAUAUAGGUCUAUGGCUGCAACAAGUUCUGAAAUUCUAUAGUUGAUUGCUUUGCUAGCAGAUUUUGGAGUUAAGAUUCCUCAACCAAUAGAAUUGUUUACAGAUAGCAUGUCAGCAAUUCAUAUAGCAAAGAACCCUGUAUUUCAUGAGAGAACUAAGCAUAUAGAGAUUGAUUGUCAUUUUAUAAGGGAAAAGGUGUUGCAAGGGAUAAUUAAAUCAGGCUAUUUAAAUACUAAAGAACAGGUUGCUGAUAUCUUUACUAAAGCUUUACAUCCAGCUCAGUUCAGACAUCUUUUGAGCAAGUUGAACAUAUCUGAUAUCUAUGUUCGACUUAAGGGGGAGUAUCAAGCCAAGGAAGAGCAGCAGCUUGUAGUAGCUUAUACUAGAGCUAUUAGUUAAUGUAAAUGUAAUCAGAAGUUGUGUUAACUUAAUUAGUUAAAUUUGUUAAUUACCUAUAUACUCUUGCUAAAGUAGAAAUGAGAUUGACUUACUUUUCCCAACUCCCUUUCUUCUGUAACAUGGUAUCAGAGCAGAGAUCUGGAGAGAUUAUUUUUUCUCUCGAAUAGUUGGUCUUCAUUUCUAGGGUCUUUUCAUCUCUUCUUUUGCUUCAUCAAUGACGGAUUCACAAAAUUCCAUCUCAUUCCUUAGAUUCUGUUGGCACUGUCACUCGUGCAUGUAAUCCAUCUAAAGAUAUUUCUUUGCCUUACUAUCUUCACCACUCAGAGAAUCAUAGUUCGGUCAUUGUCACGCUUGAGCUCACAUCAGCUAAUUUUGCUUCUUGGAGAAGGUCCUUUCUGCUUGCAGUUUCAAUUAGGAAUAAGCAAGGUUUUCUUGAUGGAUCUAUACCAAAACCUACACCAGAA
rnacentral:misc_RNA from 1 species